AUCCAUCUGAUGAGUUCCACAUAGGACGACACUCGCAUCCUGGAU
rfam:Schistosoma curassoni strain Dakar, Senegal genome assembly, scaffold: SCTD_scaffold0000052